AGAAACAUUUAGGAACAGUUAAAGUAGCUCUAUCAGGGUACAGUUGUUAGGGUAAGUGUUAACAUAGCCAUAUUGUUUGGGUUUUUAUUUGGUUGUGCUUUAACUCAUAAAGCCAAGUGUAAUUCUUAGGCGGAGAAUAGAAGACAUGGAGAAUGAGUUACAGAAAACAGAGCGAUUAUUUAAAAACCAGAUCGCUACCCAUGAGAAGAAAGCUCAUGAAAACUGGCUCAAAGCUCGUGCUGCAGAAAGAGCUAUAGCUGAAGAGAAAAGUGAAGCUACGAACUUGAGACACAAAUUAUUAGAAUUAACACAAAAGAUGGAAAUGCUGCA